UACAGGGGGGGCAAGCGUUGUUCGGAAUUACUGGGCGUAAAGGGUUCGUAGGUGGCCAAUUAAGUCAGACGUGAAAUCCCUCAGCUUAACUGGGGAACUGCGUCUGAUACUGGUUGGCUUGAGUGCAGGAGAGGAAUGCGGAAUUCCAGGUGUAGCGGUGAAAUGCGUAGAUAUCUGGAGGAACACCGGUGGCGAAGGCGGCAUUCUGGACUGUAACUGACACUGAGGAACGAAAGCCAGGGGAGCAAACGGG
rnacentral:rRNA from 1 species